rnacentral:rRNA from 1 species
AUUGAACGCUGGCGGCAUGCCUUACACAUGCAAGUCGAACGGUAACAGGGAGCUUGCUCCGCUGACGAGUGGCGAACGGGUGAGUAAUGUAUCGGAACGUACCUUUUAGCGGGGGAUAACGUAGCGAAUGUUACGCUAAUACCGCAUAUUCUCUGAGGAGGAAAGCAGGGGACCUUCGGGCCUUGCGCUAAUAGAGCGGCUGAUAUCAGAUUAGCUAGUUGGUGAGGUAAAGGCUCACCAAGGCGACGAUCUGUAGCGGGUCUGAGAGGAUGUUCCGCCACACUGGAACUGCGACCCGGUCCAGCAUCCUACGGGAGGCAGCAGUGGGGAAUUUUGGACAAUGGGGGCAACCCUGAUCCAGCCAUGCCGCGUGAGUGAAGAAGGCCUUCGGGUUGUAAAGCUCUUUCGGCCGGGAAAAAAUCGCAUGGGUUAAUACCCUGUGUGGAUGAUGGUACCGGAAUAAGAAGCACCGGCUAACUACGUGCCAGCCGCCGCCGUAA